UAUUCUACUAAGCAAGCAGUAAUCUCUCUCAAGUUUCAAAUAUUGAUCUCAAUUUUGUCUAAAGAAAACUUCAAGUGAGUUACUCUUCAUAGUCGAUUUUGAUUUUAAAUCUUAGUUCUACUAAACCCUAGUUCGAAAUUUCAUCAUCAUAGAUUUAUCUAGUAUUUUUAUUUUUGUACAAAUAUAAAUAAUUGUUAUAAAGGCAUGUUUCCCCCUUCAGUUCUAUGUAUAAUUAAAUUUCAUGACCAUAGAUUCAUGCAGUGUUUGAUUUUCUUUAUUUUAAAACCCCAUCUUGAUUAUGGUUUGGAUUGUGAUGAUUGUCUUAGCCUUGAUAGAAUCAUCAGGGUUUUUAUAGCAGCAAUUUUCUUUUGCUGGUCUAUUAAUAGCACUAUAUCACCUUCUAAUUUUACACAAGUUAAACAUGAAGAUCAUUGUGUUGCACAUCUAGCUCUCCAUUAGUGAAUGAACUUAACUUCACAUUCAGUUUCACUGACAUUUGCAUGACUUGGACGUCGACUUUGUCUAGCUAUAUCAUUAGUUAUAUUCUUGUUGAAUUAUUGUGAGUCUGUGAUAUAUGUUUUGUUUGGUAAAUGUGAAAUAUGUUUUGAAAAUUAAUUUUUGAAAUGUUAUUGAUAUGGUGGUAUUCAAACAAAUAUUUUUUUCUAUGUAAAAGUCCAAUGUACUGAUGUGUAAUGGUAUUGUGUUUAGUAUUCGUUUUUUUUACAUGGACAAUAUUUAACAUAUCCAUUUCUGAAUUUCACUACAAUGGUUGUUAAAUGCCCUCUAGGGACACUUCCUGAUUACAAUGAAGUAGCGAGUCCAUGCUUUGGUGUUAGACUUUUACUAAUGUUGUUCCUGGUUUUUCAAUUUGGCAGGUUACACUAGAGCUACCAACAAACAGUACUUAGUGCAAAGAGUCAAUAAAAUGGUGAACUAUCUUGAAGACAUGGACAUAUGGGAAAAUGUUCUUGGGAAGUGUAUGGAUGAUUGCUUGUAGCGGCACAACGUGUUCAAUUGUGUUCAUUGCUUGUUGUUUGUUUUUCUAUUUUACGAACUUUGUAUUAUUUCAUGAGAAAUUUUUGUUAAACUUUUAUUGUGAUUUAUUAGGCUUCUGUUGUAUUAAACUUUGUGUUGUUAAACUGUUGUACAAGUUUUAAAUGAAUGGAAGGCAUGCUGUUAAUGAAAAUCAUAUUAACUUAGUUUAACAGGUUACAAGUUUGAUGGG
rnacentral:lncRNA from 1 species